rnacentral:rRNA from 1 species
UACGUAGGGUGCAAGCGUUGUCCGGAAUUAUUGGGCGUAAAGAGCUCGUAGGCGGUUUGUUGCGUCGGCUGUGAAAUCCCGAGGCUCAACCUCGGGUCUGCAGUCGAUACGAGCAAACUAGAGUGUUGCAGGGGAGACUGGAAUUCCUGGUGUAGCGGUGAAAUGCGCAGAUAUCAGGAGGAACACCGGUGGCGAAGGCGGGUCUCUGGGCAAACAACUGACGCUGGAGGAGCGAAAAGCCGUGGGGGAGCGAACAGG